rnacentral:rRNA from 1 species
UACAGAGGUCCCAAGCGUUGUUCGGAUUCACUGGGCGUAAAGGGUGCGUAGGUGGCGAGGUAAGUUCGAUGUGAAAUCCCCGGGCUCAACCCGGGAACUGCCUUCAUGACUGCAAAGCUAGAGGAUGCGAGAGGUUAGCGGAAUUCCGAGUGUAGAGGUGAAAUUCGUAGAUAUUCGGAAGAACACCAGUGGCGAAGGCGGCUAACUGGCGCAUUUCUGACGCUGAGGUGCGAAAGCGUGGGGAGCAAACAGG